AACGAGGCCGACCUGCGGCUGAGUUACCUGCGGAGGGAUCAUUACAAGUGAUAGAACCGCCCCCCGGGGCAUCUCUCAUAACCCUUUGUUGUCCGACCACGUUGCCUCCGGGGCGACCCUGCCUCCGGGCGGGGGCCCCGGGUGGACAAACCCAAACUCUUGCGUAACUUUGCAGUCUGAGUAAACUUAAUUAAUAAAUUAAAACUUUCAACAACGGAUCU
rnacentral:misc_RNA from 1 species